UACGUAGGGUGCAAGCGUUAAUCGGAAUUACUGGGCGUAAAGCGUGCGCAGGCGGUUGUGCAAGACCGAUGUGAAAUCCCCGGGCUUAACCUGGGAAUGGCAUUGGUGACUGCACGGCUAGAGUGUGUCAGAGGGGGGUAGAAUUCCACGUGUAGCAGUGAAAUGCGUAGAGAUGUGGAGGAAUACCGAUGGCGAAGGCAGCCCCCUGGGAUAACACUGACGCUCAUGCACGAAAGCCUGGGGAGCAAACAGG
rnacentral:rRNA from 1 species